ACGCUCGACACCUACGGAGGCAGCAGUGGGGAAUAUUGCACAAUGGGGGAAACCCUGAUGCAGCGACGCCGCGUGGAGGAAGAAGGUCUUCGGAUUGUAAACUCCUGUUGUUGGGGAAAAAGAGGAUGGUACCCCAACAAGGAAGUGACGGCUAACUACGUGCCAACAGCCGCGGUAAUCUGAGCGGGCUGGCAAGGC
rnacentral:rRNA from 1 species